GCUUCCAAACGGUCGCACCGAGGAGCAGCUCCGCUCAUUUUUUCCACUUUCACCUCUGGCAACGGCAAUCGCUUAACGAAACAAAGAGCAGGAGCUUCUGGAUACUUACAAACCAGUGGGAUUAUAUUUUCUUUUAGAUAAAACAGGCAUUUUUCAAUAUUUUUACGACUUCCUCAACGCUACGCGAGGAGGCCUGCCAAACAAGAUAAGCCUGAGCCUGUGCUACAGUGCUAAAGGUAAUUAGCAGAAAAUGCCUCCCUUCUCUACGGAAGAUUACCACAAACUCCUACAGAAGAUUUUACUGCCGGAAACAAAAGUGAAUCGGUUAGAAGUAAAUGUAGAAGCAAAUGGACCAUGUGGGAACAACACCACUCUAGCAAUGACUCAAAACAGUGGACAAGAGCAUGCUAGAACCCAGCUAACUAGCAAUGAUGGAACUAUGAAGAAACUGGAGGACUCUGUGCAGGGUAAUAAAUCUACCAGCGAUAAUCCUCCCUGGACCACACUUGGUGCAAAGCCAAAGAGAAGACCAGACAAGGGAGAACGGAUAACUGGCAGGACCCAGCGGCCCGAUAUCUGUGAUCUGGCCGACUGGCCUGCGUUACCAUCCAGGCAUAACGCCUCCUCAACCCCCGUUCUUCGUAGAACAAAGCAGCGGACAACUGAGAAGAGGGGAACUACCAAGGAACCUCCCCAGCAAACAGGUGUAAAACUACAAAACAGGUUUGCUCCACUGUUGCAGGACCAUGGAUCCCCCUCUAAAUUUCUGGAUAACCCUCCACCACCACGCAGCAAGGUUUUUCUGGGACCGCAGGCAUCUUUUUAAGACAAAUGGACUUUGCCUGAAUAAGAUGGGAGCAAAGCUUUUCAUUACCAACAUGUUUUACAUCAUGCGUCAUCCAUCUGUCC
ensembl:lncRNA